rnacentral:lncRNA from 1 species
UACCAGUGACCCCACAGCAGGGCCAGAGGGGUCCCAGAGGCUGUUUUGGGAAAAACAAAUCUCCAGUGAAAGCUACAAGAUGUCAUCUUGCUGGAGGGCAGAAGGAUUCCCUGGAACCUGGGGGCCAGCAGGACAGAGGAAACAGAAAGUACAUGACUGAUGAUGUCUUUCGACCACAGAAAGGGCUGGAAGAAGCAGGGGACCUACUGUUUGAAUAAACCCAGUGGAAAAACAGAAGCCCCAUUUCAUACUUGACUCAGCUCUUCAAGUUUAAAUCUUGAAUCUCCUCAACUACACGGAACAGUGUUUCUCCCAAGUCAUCUGACACCCACUCUGUUCUCUGGAUCAUUCCUUCCUAGAGAACGUUGCUCUUGGAGGGCUGUGAUCUGCUCUCACCCACUUGCCUUUCUGACCCGCUGAGUGCAUCUCAACAGUCACUUGGGGUGAUCCGAUCUGACC